UACAGGAGGUCUCGAGCGUUGUUCGGAUUCAUUGGGCGUAAAGGGUGCGUAGGCGGCGGGGUAAGUCUGAUGUGAAAUCCCCGGGGCUCAACUCUGGAACUGCAUUGGAUACUGCCUUGCUAGAGAGCUGGAGAGGAAACUGGAAUUUACGGUGUAGCAGUGAAAUGCGUAGAGAUCGUAAGGAAGACCAGUGGCGAAGGCGAGUUUCUGGACAGCUACUGACGCUGAGGCACGAAGGCCAGGGGAGCAAACGGG
rnacentral:rRNA from 1 species